AGUGAACGCUGGCGGUAUGCCUAACACAUGCAAGUCGAACGGCAGCACAGUAAGAGCUUGCUCUUACGGGUGGCGAGUGGCGGACGGGUGAGGAAUACAUCGGAAUCUACUUUUUCGUGGGGGAUAACGUAGGGAAACUUACGCUAAUACCUCAUACGACCUACGGCUGAAAGCAGGGGAUCUUCGGACCUUGCGCGAUUGAAUGAGCCGAUGUCGGAUUAGCUAGUUGGCGGGGUAAAGGCCCACCAAGGCGACGAUCCGUAGCUGGUCUGAGAGGAUGAUCAGCCACACUGGAACUGAGACACGGUCCAGACUCCUACGGGAGGCAGCAGUGGGGAAUAUUGGACAAUGGGCGCAAGCCUGAUCCAGCCAUACCGCGUGGGUGAAGAAGGCCUUCGGGUUGUAAAGCCCUUUUGUUGGGAAAGAAAAGCAGCAGGUUAAUACCCCGCUGUUCUGACGGUACCCAAAGAAUAAGCACCGGCUAACUUCGUG
rnacentral:rRNA from 1 species